CCGGAAAGGUGCUAAUACAUGCAAGUCGAGCGAACAGAGAAGGAGCUUGCUCCUUUGACGUUAGCGGCGGACGGGUGAGUAACACGUGGGCAACCUACCUUAUAGUUUGGGAUAACUCCGGGAAACCGGGGCUAAUACCGAAUAAUCUAUUUUACUUCAUGGUGAAAUACUGAAAGACGGUCUCGGCUGUCGCUAUAAGAUGGGCCCGCGGCGCAUUAACUAGUUGGUGAGGUAACGGCUCACCAAGGCGACCAUGCGUAACCGACCUGAAAGGGUGAUCGGCCACACUGGGACUGAAACACGGCCCAAACUCCUACGGGAGGCAGCAGUAGGGAAUCUUCCACAAUGGGCGAAAGCCUGAUGGAACAACGCCGCGUGAGUGAAGAAGGUUUUCGGAUCGUAAAACUCUGUUGUAAGGGAAGAACAAGUACAGUAAUAACUGGCUGUACCUUGACGGUACCUUAUUAAAAAGCCACGGCUAACUACCUGCCAGCAGCCCGGGUAAUACAA
rnacentral:rRNA from 1 species